CAACCACGCUGGACUUUCUACUUCGAUAAUCUAUAAUUAGUUUGCGUUUAUAACAGAAUUGAUAUUGAUUAUGACUAAUCAAUCAUAUGGCGACAUAGUUGAUAUUUUUUCUGCAGCGGUGGUUUCUGAACCUGGUUUUGUUAUGCACAAUUACAACAUACAAUACUUGACCUCAAUUUCAGUUUUUUUCUGCAACUUCCGGGGAAUCUAAAUCUUUUUGAACAGAAUGGUACUUGAAUGACUCCUGUCACAACAAAUUCAGUAGUUAAAAAAAUGGAAACUCUUGCCUUAAAAUUAGAGCGACUUACCAGAUUCGUUAACUGAAACCUAUCAUCGAAUUUUUUUUAUAAAGCUUUCUAAUUUAUUAUACACACUUGAAGCUUAUAAACUUUAAUUUUUAGUCGACCUCUGGUCUUUUAUUUUUUCUUGGCGAUACUGUUACUUCAAAGUCAUUCAAAUAUGAACUCUUGCCUUCGCUUCGAAGAUAGUUAUCUGCGUUCCGCCUUUUAUUUCACCAUAAUAACAAGAUCGAUGUUCUCAAUGCGAUUCUUUUUGCGUGGUUAUUCUUGUACUGCUGAAUUUGAAAUAGAGGUGUUCAGAGUGCAUGCUCAGUGUUAAAGCCUCUUCUUUGAAACUUAUCCGUAAGCGGAAUAAUUUUCUCUUGAAACUCUUCCAGCGUAAUCUUUUCCGUUCAAAAAAUUACUUAAAACUGUUUCGAGGAAAAAAUUUUUUGUUCAUAAUUUGUUGGUGCACCUUUCAAAAAGUAUUUUCCAUAUCGAAGCUUUUCCUAGAAAUAACUUUCUACGGCAUUUUUUCCUUCUUUCCUAUCUUUCCUUAUCCGAGCCAGUGUCGAGAACAAAAAUUACACUGCGGGUGGUUGAGCUGUAACUUUUGAUUACAAAAGCGGAGCUAUUUCUCAUCCUCAAAUUUUUUAUCGUCCGCAACGGAGCGGUUUGAAACGUUAAGAGGAUACUUGAAGUGCGGUCGGAAAUAUAGGAUGGAGUACCCAGCAACAGCAGAAGAAGAGGAUUUCUUCAAUGAGAUGCAGUCCCAGCAAAGUGAGGUUCAGGAAGAAAUGCGAGCAGGCACGAUAAAGAAAGGAGAUGUGUUCUCAUAGGAGCUCUCCCUUAAACGCGGACGACCCUGCGGCUGCCAUAACAAAACAACGACUGGUUAUUUUCUGCAGAAAAAAAACUGAAACUUUAAAUUUGGCAAUUGUAAAUAGAUUAGAAAUUACUUGAUUAUUUAGGUUACGACUCUAGAUAUAAUAUGAAAUGAUUGAUUUGUUUUGAA